rnacentral:rRNA from 1 species
GAUGAACGCUGGCGGCGUGCCUAAUACAUGCGAGUCGAGCGAACAGAUGAGGAGCUUGCUCCUCUGACGUUAGCGGCGGACGGGUGAGUAACACGUGGAUAACCUACCUAUAAGACUGGGAUAACUUCGGGAAACCGGAGCUAAUACCGGAUAAUAUAUUGAACCGCAUGGUUCAAUAGUGAAAGACGGUUUUGCUGUCACUUAUAGAUGGAUCCGCGCCGCAUUAGCUAGUUGGUAAGGUAACGGCUUACCAAGGCAACGAUGCGUAGCCGACCUGAGAGGGUGAUCGGCCACACUGGAACUGAGACACGGUCCAGACUCCUACGGGAGGCAGCAGUAGGGAAUCUUCCGCAAUGGGCGAAAGCUUGACGGAGCAACGCCGCGUGAGUGAUGAAGGUCUUCGGAUCGUAAAACUCUGUUAUUAGGGAAGAACAAAUGUGUAAGUAACUAUGCACGUCUUGGCGGUACCUAAUCAGAAAGCCACGGCUAACUACGUG